GACGAACGCUGGCGGCGUGCUUAACACAUGCAAGUCGAACGAAGAGCGAUGGAAGCUUGCUUCUAUCACUCUUAGUGGCGAACGGGUGAGUAACGCGUAAUCAACCUGCCCUUCAGAGGGGGACAACAGUUGGAAACGACUGCUAAUACCGCAUACGAUCUAAUCUCGGCAUCGAGGAUAGAUGAAAGGUGGCCUCUACAUGUAAGCUAUCACUGAAGGAGGGGAUUGCGUCUGAUUAGCUAGUUGGAGGGGUAACGGCCCACCAAGGCGAUGAUCAGUAGCCGGUCUGAGAGGAUGAACGGCCACAUUGGGACUGAGACACGGCCCAGACUCCUACGGGAGGCAGCAGUGGGGAAUCUUCCGCAAUGGACGAAAGUCUGACGGAGCAACGCCGCGUGAGGGAUGACGGCCUUCGGGUUGUAAAGCUCUGUUAAUCGGGACGAAAGGCCUUCUUGCGAAUAGUGAGAAGGAUUGACGGUACCGGAAUAGAAAGCCACGGCUAACUACGUG
rnacentral:rRNA from 1 species